CCUGAGUGGCGAACGGGUGAGGAACACGUGGUCGACCUACCCCGGCGUGGGGGAUACCCUGUGGAAACACAGGCUAAUACCGCGUACGGUUCACGGGCGAGAGGCCGGUGAAAGAAAGCCGCAAGGCGCGCUGGGAGGGGACUGCGGCCGAUUAGCUAGUUGGUGGGGUAAUGGCUUACCAAGGCGAUGAUCGGUAGCGGGUCUGAGAGGAUGAUCCGCCACACGGGGACUGAGACACGGCCCCG
rnacentral:rRNA from 1 species